rnacentral:rRNA from 1 species
UACGUAGGGUGCAAGCGUUAAUCGGAAUUACUGGGCGUAAAGCGUGCGCAGGCGGUUAUGUAAGACAGAUGUGAAAUGCCCGGGCUUACCUGGGAACUGCAUUUGUGACUGCAUGGCUAGAAUCUGGCAGAGGGGGGUGGAAUUCCGCGUGUAGCAGUGAAAUGCGUAGAGAUGCGGAGGAACACCGAUGGCGAAGGCAGCCCCCUGGGCUGACA